AUUUUGUUUUACUCAGCCUCAACAUGCAUUAGCAUGUUGAUAAUACACUGAAACUUUUGUGUCUUGGUACUCUUUGAUCGCUUGGGAUAUCUGAAAGUUAUCUGAAUAUAUAGCAGCUCCUGUACUAUUUAGCAUUUUUCAUUUUAGGUUGAGAAUGUUCAUGUCACAGGACUUGUGGAACUCUCAAUGUUCAUAUUUUUGUACGACUUGUAGUCUUCUGAGGGAGAAAAGUGGGUGGCUUUCUCCGAGCUUUAAAUCCAAUAGCUCUGGAAUCAGGUUAUGGGUGAUCCUCUCAGAUCUUAGCUGUCAAAGAAAAGAAUAUAUUAUGUCUUGAAUUGGGAAACAAUGGUCAAAAAAUGCAUUCUGAAUGCUUGAAAACCAGAAAGAAAGCAUCAUUUUUUUUUUCCCCAAACUACUUUGAAAAGGACAAAUACAGUAGUUUGUCUUUAUUUACUUAUUUAUUUCAUUUAAUGGAAAACUGCAGUUAACAGUUCUGAGAUUUCUGUGGUUCUUCUGUGUCCUCAAUUAAUUAAGUCUGCUCCGUAUGGCUCAGGUUCUGUUCUUAUACAUGUUGAAAUUUUACUUGAAGUGAGUCUGAAACUGAGUGACAUCUUUGCUGCUAGUGAACAGGUUGAAAAUAGAAGACAAGAUCCAAUCAGACAGACUAAUUAGGGUACCCAGUCAGGAUGGAGUCUUGAAUAUUCACUGCACAUUUUUUGGAAACACAGUACUGUGCAAAUCCUUGCAGACUGAUUGAUACCAUCUGCCAGCCAAUCAUCCUUAGUGAUCGGUGAAAACAACUAAAACAAUUAGAAAUCUAACAUCUAUAACAGUUUCAGGAACUGCUUAAUUUAAAAGAAAAUCAACUCUUAUAAAUGAUCUUGCAGCCACAACCAUGCAAUGUUUUGAUUGGAAGAGUGAACAUCAUAGCAGUAUUUUGCAUAAUCAUUUGCUUCAGUAUUGCAAGGGGAAUAUGCCUUUGGAGCUCAGAUCGCAGAGGCUGAGCAGUAAUGGGGAAUGGUAGAGGACAGCUAUGAGAACAGAAGAAAAACACUUCUCCUGGAAUGAAAUCUCCUCUGGGUGUUUUAGUCAUAAAAAAUUUAAAGGAACACCAAUUUCCUAGGUGUGCUGCCAACUAGGAGGCCCUGUUGGUGUGUUGCAGCCAUACAGUGGGCUUUUGGGGGAAACCCUUUUACAUGUACCUUUUUGCUGCUCAAAUUCUUCAUUUCCAGCAUCUGGGAAGGCAGAAGAGCGUGUACUAUUUCUGAAUUCAAAUGCUGGUAUCAGCAACCCACUAAACAGACAGCACCGUUUUCUCAUUUGUAAGAGGUCAUUCUUUUACACCAUUGCCUCAAAGCUUGCUGAGGGACACAGGUGAACAAGUUCAAUCUAGUCCUGACCAAGGAUUGGGAAAUCCUUUGUCUGAAGGGACAACAGAUGGACAAGGCCAGGGGCAACCAGAGAGAGAUAAGUGGCAGCUAAAUGGCCAGGAAACAGUCUUUUGUGUGGACUUAUCUCAAGGGAGACAGCCAUCUCGGGGUGCACACAUGACCCUUACCCAAGCGCCCAGAAAUGUCACGUAGGCAGGGAAGAAGGAGGAUAAAAGAGGGUCCAACAACCAUGAAGGCAGGUUUUCUGACAACAGAUUCCUCAUGACCUGCCUCUCCCUCCUGGACUUGCUCUGUGCUCUACCUGCUUGCUGCCUAAGGAUGGCCCCUCUGCUGCUGCUGCUCUCCCCCUCCCCCCCAAGAAGGUGUCUGCCAUCAGAUCCCUCGCUACAGAAGGUCUGCAUGCUGAUGGAUUCUCCAGGGCCUGCUACCGGAGACCUGCUGCCUCCACCCGGACUUCUUCCUGGACCUACUUGGUACCUGCACCUUCUUGCUGCCCAAGACCGGCCACACUGCUGCUGCUCUUCCCCUGUGCUUUUGCCCCAGACCGUCGGAACAUCGUGCAACGGGACUACUGCCAGAUCCUGGUGGUGACUAUCCCCGCUUUAUGCAAUUCUUGCUUCUUCCUAUCUUUUCUCUCUCUUGCCUUCCCUUCCCCAUCACCCCAAUCCGUAAUAGUGUCCGUUCUCCCCUUCCUUCAUCUCCCUUAUUAACAUUUGUAAUAAACUAGUCAGACC
ensembl:lncRNA